rnacentral:rRNA from 1 species
UACGUAGGUGGCAAGCGUUGUCCGGAUUUAUUGGGUUUAAAGGGUGCGUAGGCGGUCUUUUAAGUCAGUGCUGAAAUAUCCCGGCUUAACCGGGAGGGUGGCAUUGAUACUGAAGGACUUGAGUAAAGUUGAGGUUGGCGGAAUUGACGGUGUAGCGGUGAAAUGCUUAGAUAUCGUCAAGAACACCGAUAGUGCAGACAGCUAACUACGGGAACAUUGACACUGAGGCACGAAAGCGUGGGGAGCAAACAGG